AGCCCACGACCACCGACUCCCGAGCCCGGGCUCUUUCCACUGAGCCACGCUGCUUCUCGUGGCAGCGGGAGCCUCGGGAGUAGCUAAGAUCCCCGAAGGAAUGAGAAUAGAAGGGGACCAGAACCGAGCGUUCCUUGAGGAACCCCCCCGGUUCGGGAACGGGAGGCAGAGGAAGAGCCAGUGAGAGAUUCAAGGAGGACCGGCUAGAGAAGACGACUGCAGCAAAAUCGAGGAGCGGGCGAGGUGAUCCAGUGCUUGAAAGCGGACAGUGAGGAGUUUCUACGAGAAAUGAUCCAGGCGGCAGAGCGGAGCGUGG